UUCCUGGUGGUCCAGUGUUUAGGACUCUGCACUUUCACUGCAAAGGGGCAUGGGUUCAAUCCCUGGUUGGGGAA
rnacentral:tRNA from 1 species